GUAGGUAGCUUAACCUUCGGGAGGGCGCUUACCACUUUGUGAUUCAUGACUGGGGUGAAGUCGUAACUAGGUAUCCGUAGGGGAAGCUGCGGUUGGAUCACCUCCUUACCUUAAAGAA
rnacentral:rRNA from 1 species